rnacentral:lncRNA from 1 species
GUCAGUAUGUAACCAUGUUACAUUUUUCUACUAUUAAAGCUUUGUUUCAAAGAUAUACGCAAGCUGCUUACUUCACUGCAUGAGAAGACAAACUCUGCUAAAGAAGGAGAAGGUGGAAUAUCUUACACUGGGUGAGUGAGGAGGUAGUUCCCUGACAGGAGGAUUGAUUUUUAGUCACUCCCCUCUGCACAAUAUAUACAGUAUAUGUAAUAUACUGGAGGAGCGGGCUAAGCACACACACACCUGGUGGCCCAUGCUUGUUCGCGAUUCGCUGAUUAGCCGAUUAUCCAGAAAGCAAGCUCAGCCCAAAGGCUUUCUCUGCUGCUUGGGAAACAGUCCCUGGGACUUCCCAUGUCAGAUCACGGCACAUGAGGUAAUACCAGCCCACAAUCGCACGCACCAGAGAGGGUGAGUGGACUUGUGUGAAGUGGGGAGUCUUCUAUACUCAAGGAGACCUCCCUCACAUUUCAGAACCCUGAAAGACUCCCCACACCACACCAUCAUUUUCCAACUUUUACAGAACAACAGGAACAACAGUGUGAAGGGCAAAGCUGAUGUAGUUACUGUGCUCCAUACAGAACGGCUGAGGGAAGCAUUUUGGGUGAUGAAACAUGGGAUGAGGAAAAGGUAUUGUUGAAGCAGUUUGCCCUCACACAAUUCCAUCCACCUCCUGCCUCUUCCAAGGUCCUCUUGAUUUCAUUUCUCCCAGAGAGGAAAUUUGAGCCCAGAACUUUUACAAGAUCCGUAGUGCCAUAAAUUCUCCCCUUGCUGGGGUCGUUGUAUAACCAAAUGGCAUAAAUCCCUCACACUUUCUGUAUAAUUUUGUGGGAAUUUCUGAGUCAGUGAGAUUUCAUGUUUAUGAUUUAAUUCAUUUUAUGUUGCCGUUUCCUUUUUACACGCUUGUAUGCUGUUAUAAAAGUGAUUUAAAGAAAUUGGCUGAAUAAAGUGAAAGAUAAAAAGAAUCAAGCAUUAAAAAACAAACAAACAGGAAGAAGCAAAGGUGAGUGGAAGAGAUGCUGGCCCAGUACUGAAUGCGAAUGAAUCAUUUCUACAAUGGAGGCAAUAUUCUGAAGGACUGCACAAUGUGACAUUAGAGAAUUACUCUAACAAGAGUAUCCCUCCUACUCCAAUUGAUCUUUCCAUCAAUUGCUGUUCAUUUGCUAUGGAUGAAUUCACUAAGGUGGACAAGCAAAGCUAAGAAAAAGCACCUGGCAUAGAUCCCUGAAUGACUGCUGAAGUGCUUUUUGGCAGAAGGUAUGAAACCAAUUGGCAAACAUAAUUUGCUUGGGUGGUUUUUUCAUGGAAGGAUGGAAAGGGCAGGCACUGAAUUAAAUUCAUCCUUAACAAAAUCCACUGGAGGACCUCCGGGUAGAUACUGAGGAGUUAGGAACAGUCACAUUUAAAGUCAAAUAUACUUAAAUAGCACUUUCUGAAACAAUACGUACACAAAGGACAGCUAUCCAUCAAAAUGCACAUUUCUUCAAAUUUCGCAAUACAAUUUUCCAGCCAAGCAAUAUGUAAAAUAAAAAAGGCACAUACUAGGCUUAAGGUGCAUAAAAAUGUAUAUAUCGGUUAAAACAAACAAACAUUGACAUGCAUUAUAUUAGGGAAAGCCCUUUGCAAGAUGUGCAUAUUAGGCAAAAUCACAUACAAUGAAUAUGAGGAUGAUGAAUUUUCAUGCAGAUGUAAUUCCUCCCUCCACCCCAAACUGAUGUGGAAAUGUGGAGAAACAAAUUUAAGGUUGCAAAAAUGAAAAACCAAAACUUAGAGAUUUCUUUGCCCCUACAGGUAGAAGAUUGAUCCAAGUGAAAGGGGCCUUUCUCUCAUGCCCUCACGAUUUCUCUAAGCCAGUCCAUCACCCAUCUCUUGCCUUUGUAUUUGACUCAAUCCUCCACCAAUCAUCAGAUGGGAUGCUGUCCACUUGCCAACUUCCAUUUCCCCAGUGGAGGAAUCAUCUCAGCAAACUGUGCAAACCAAAGGAGAGAGAUGGAUAAGCUCCUUACACCCCUCUCCUGGAACAUUGCUUCUUGCGUUUAUAACUUAUUAAAAAGCGUUGACUUUUUUAUUAUUAGAAAUCCUCUCCAGCAAAAACUGGGGCAGUUUAAUAUAACCUCUAAGCCUGCCAAAGCCACAUGCAAUAAGUAAAAAGCAGGUUAUCCCCGGAUCUCCAGCUUGCUCACUUUACUUGCACUGAUUACUUAUUAAGUAUUCAUAGUGAGCUUGGCACUUGAAAGCUGGGGAAAGACAACACAACUCUUGCUUCCCCUAAUACAAUUUCAUCAUCCAAAGAGACAAGAAACCCAAACUGUACUGCGCAACCCUGAGGAGGACUGUAACCGGGCAGAUUUUCAUAAAUAUCACUCUUCUCUUGACUGUUAUGGCAACCACAUGUCUAGGGUUCUACACUGAGAAGGGAGCCUCCAUGAGAAGAAGCAGGCUCCCUGCUGCAGAUAACCACCCAGGGUAAGGAGAAUAGCGGGCAGAGCUAGCACACUCAAUUCUAUCCAUCCCCACCAUACAUGUGUUGUUUCACUCCAUUUCCAGCACAUGUAAACAAAGACUAUGAAGGCAUCAGAGACUGAUUCAGGGCAUUGUGACAGGCCCACUCACCUUCCCCAGUGGGCGGUGUUGCGGCGGGGCAUCUGGGACCUCCCAGUGACUCGGAUAGAGGGCAGAGGUAUGCCAGCCACGUCAUAGGAAUUCCUGGCUGCGUCACAUCCCUGGCUGACUAAUUGGUGCAGCCGGGGGCGUGGCCACUUGCCGUUUAAACAGUGGCGUGGCUGGGGGGGCAUCCUCCUUUCGCCUCCUCACCGGAUCUCCCAGCCCACCCUCCCUCUUUUUAUGUGUUCCUAUGAUUUUGGCCUUGCUAAGGACUAAUGUCGGCCGCCAUAUUGUUGGGAAUUUUUCCACUUGGUAAAUAGGCACCAGCCAUUUGUUUUUUGCCUAAGGUAAAGGGCCCCUGACCAUUAGGUCCAGUCGUGGCCGACUGGGGUUGCAGCGCUCAUCUCGCUUUAGAGGCCGAGGGAGCCGGCGUACAACUUCCGGGUCAUGUGGCCAGCAUGACUAAGCCACUUCUGGUAAACCAGAGCAGUGCACGGAAACGCCGUUUACCUUCCCACCGGAGCGGUACCUAUUUAUCUACUUGUACUUUGAUGUGCUUUCGAACUGCUAGGUUGACAGGAACAGGGACCGAGCAAUGGGAGCUCACCCCGUUGCAGGGAUUCGAACCGCCGACCUUCUGAUCGGCAAGUCCUAGCCUCUGUGGUUUAACCCACAGCGCCACCUGCGUCCCAGGUUUUCAUCUACCUUGUAGCAAUUGUCACAACUUUGUAAGUUUAGGCAUUGUGUAAGCCUUUGUUUAUGGGAGGGGAGGUUGUAGCCUUCGCCUGCCCCUCCUCAAUAAGGGUAUUCUGUUAAUGGGAUCUGGGUGUGUGGAUCCUGUCUGAAGCCUGGGCAUGGGCUAGGGCCAUGCCAUGACCCCAUCGGGGACCCUGGGGGUGCCCCAAUUUGACUUAUUUCAUAGGGCUCCCCCUACCCUUAGUGAGACUCCCUGCAGACGGGUAGGAGUCAGGAUAUAGUCUGGUUUCACCCAAUGCCUAAGCCAAACCGCUCACAUCUGUAACCAAUAAAGUUGUGGCCUAUUUUAUCCCAUUGACCUAAUAUAUUUGUGUCCAUGUGUUUAUUAUCUAAGGCAACUGCGGGGCCCAGGGCGUCAUCACGGAAGUUCCACUGCACUGGGCAUCAAGCCUAGGAAGUGUCACAGGACUUCAUCAAAGCAAUGAUAUAGUGACUUGAGCAGAACAGAAGAUGACAAGUUGGGGGCACCAAAUUUUGGCCUUGCACAGGGUGCCACUGAGAUUUGAAAGACCAAAGUCUGCCCCUAGAGGCAUGCGAGAGAGAAGACAAAGAGCAGGGAGAUGAAAGCAACAUGAGGGGGUCAUUGUAGGACUUGCCAUUAGAGUGGAGUUGAGAAUUAGGACAACUGUGUGGUGAGAGAGGUGUAUGAGACCUAUGGCAGACAGGGACGAAAGAGGGGGGUUGGGCAAUGUGAUUGUGGAGAGCAUGGGGUUAGGAGUUACGAGGCCUUCACUUAGAGCAUGGUGCUGAUAACACCAAGGUGGCAGGUUUGAUCCCCAUAUAGGACAGGUGCAGACCCUGAAUUGCAGGGGGUUGGCAAGAUGAUCCUUAGGGUGCCUUGCAACUCAACAAUUCUAUGAUUAUAUGUGCUUGGAAUUAUGCUACAUAUUUUUGAAGGAGUCAAAAUACAUGUCAGCCUUUAUAUCUGCCACACAGGACAGCGUGCAGAAAAAUACUGGAUAUUCCAAGUUUCCUUUUCUGUGGCCUGUUGGCCAUGUGGAAAAUGUUAGGCAUGCUUGUACUUAGCCUUUAUACAGUCCCUGUGAAAAUCACACUGUGCUGUUCGGAUUGCAAUGCAUGUAAGAUGUUGGGCAUUUCUCAUCAAGCCCUAGAAACCAUUUGCAUUGUUUGCCAAAGGGUAUUGUGGUCAGAGAGUGAAAUGUACUGUUUCACACUCCCUUGAGCAGUGGAAGUCCCUGGGCAGCUUUAAAUAGUCAGCUUCCUUUCUACCAAGGACUUGUGGGUGUUUUGUAAUAUUAUGCUUGCAGAUGGAGAGAAGGCAAUAUGCAAAGAAGCACACAUCUUGUGCCCGGGAUGCAAAGUAAUGUCACUUUCAAAGCAACAUUAGCCGUGGAAGCCCUCUAGCUUUCGCCAGCAAGCUCUAAACAAAUAAUAUAAAAUCCCUCUAGAGCUGCUUCUCUCUCUCUGAUCUUGUGCACCCCAUAACUUUUGUGUACAUUAAUGUAUGACAGCCAUUCACUCCCUUAGGAUACACUAAAGGACAGGAUUUUGGAAUACCGUUGUGGUGGAGGCAAGUUCUUCGUCCCUGUGGUGUUUGCCCGUUCUUUCGAAAAUGUCUGUACAGGGGGAGAGAAAGGGUUAAUAGGUAGACCAAUAGAAAAGCCAGAGGUGGAGCCUACCUGUUUAUAAAAGGGCUUAGUCCAAGUUUGAGAGAGCCAGUGUGAUGUAGUGGUUAAGAGCGGUAGUCUCGUAAUCUGGGGAACCGGGUUUGCGUCUCCGCUCCUCCACAUGCAGCUGCUGGGUGACCUUGGGCCAGUCACACUUCUUUGAAGUCUCUCAGCCCCACUCACCUCACAGAGUGUUUGUUGUGGGGGAGGAAGGGAAAGGAGAAUGUUAGCCGCUUUGAGACUCCUUAAAGGGAGUGAAAGGCGGGAUAUCAAAUCCAAACUCUUCUUCUUCUUCUGAGUUAGCUAGUUAGUGGGUAGUUUGUUGGUUUUAGUUGGUUGGUUGGUUGGUUGGGAAAGGCAGUUGUGAAAGCAGUUGGCAGACAGUUGGAAAUAGAGAGACAGUUAGUGCAGUGGGUUCUUGUGUGAGGGGAGGUAGAAGAGUUAGAGACAGGAUAAAAUAAGACUGAAAAGGUAAAGAGUAACAACGUUUUGAAUGCAGUUAAAGUUUAUUUGUAUUUGCAAUAAACUACACUCUUCUUUGUUAACUUAAGAACCUGACUGAGACUAAGUGAUUUACCGGGGAGGACCUGGUUGGUGGCAGCGGAUUAGUGGUGUAUGGGUCAAUAGUCCGUGAGACGACCAGGGGCUCCGUACGAACGCCACAAUCCCCUUCUCUGAAAAUGGGCUGCCUGUAACUGAGUUGUCACACAAUUCAUAUCAAGGGACAAUGCCAGUGAACUGGAAGGUUCUUUCUGAGGUAUAAGAUCUGAG